rnacentral:rRNA from 1 species
CGAACGCUGGCGGCGUGCCUAAUACAUGCAAGUAGAACGCUGAAGGAGGAGCUUGCUCUUCUGGAUGAGUUGCGAACGGGUGAGUAACGCGUAGGUAACCUGCCUGGUAGCGGGGGGUAACUAUUGGAAACGAUAGCUAAUACCGCAUAACAGUAGAUGUUGCAUGACAUUUACUUAAAAGGUGCAAUUGCAUCACUACCAGAUGGACCUGCGUUGUAUUAGCUAGUUGGUGGGGUAACGGCUCACCAAGGCGACGAUACAUAGCCGACCUGAGAGGGUGAUCGGCCACACUGGGACUGAGACACGGCCCAGACUCCUACGGGAGGCAGCAGUAGGGAAUCUUCGGCAAUGGACGGAAGUCUGACCGAGCAACGCCGCGUGAGUGAAGAAGGUUUUCGGAUCGUAAAGCUCUGUUGUAAGAGAAGAACGAGUGUGAGAGUGGAAAGUUCGCACUGUGACGGUAUCUUACCAGAAAGGGACGGCUAACUACGUG